CGGGGCGAGGCCAACAUGGCGAUUCCCAGAGAGGAAGCAGCAGAAGAUGGCUUCUCCUCCGCUGGCCCAGGCUCUUGUCUAUGGACGUCUUGGCAGGCGCCUUCCCUCCCUCUGGAGACCUGACAACCACUAAAGUCCCAGAUCUCCCGCCGGGGCCUUCGCUGGCCCCCCAGCCUGCUCUUGGCUCACCUUCGCCGCCCAAGUGAGGUUGCUGCAGGAGAGAGGAGGGGCCGGCCCUGACUGGCCGCCCUUCAGAAGACCAAGGACUCCAAGGGACCCAUCACUUGGUAGCAAUUCUGGUACUGCCGCUUGCUCUGUCAGACUCUGAGCACCGAUUUCUCUCCUUUAAGCCUUAGUUUCCUCCUGUGUACAAUGGAAUCAGCCCUGCCUCCUGGGCUGCCAUAGGACUCCAUGGGCUAACGCGUGUGCAAGCACAGCCCAGGACCAGGCACAGAACAGUCACUCUUCUCAUUAUUUACUACUGUUGUUAUUACAAAA